UACGGAGGGUGCGAGCGUUAUCCGGAUUCACUGGGUUUAAAGGGUGCGUAGGUGGUUUUGUAAGUCAGUGGUGAAAGCCUGCAGCUUAACUGUAGAAUUGCCAUUGAUACUGCUUAACUUGAAUCAAGUCGAGGUGGAUGGAAUAAAUCAUGUAGCGGUGAAAUGCUUAGAUAUGAUUUAGAACACCGAUUGCGAAGGCAGUUCACUAGGCUUGUAUUGACACUGAGGCACGAAAGCGUGGGGAGCAAACAGG
rnacentral:rRNA from 1 species